rnacentral:piRNA from 1 species
UUCUAUGGUAUGGUCUACAUUUUUGCA